rnacentral:rRNA from 1 species
UCCUACGGGAGGCAGCAGCGGGGAAUAUUGGACAAUGGGCGAAAGCCUGAUCCAGCCAUGCCGCGUGUGUGAAGAAGGCCUUUUGGUUGUAAAGCACUUUAAGCGAGGAGGAGGCUACUGGUAUUAAUACUACCGGAUAGUGGACGUUACUCGCAGAAUAAGCACCGGCUAACUCUGUGCCAGCAGCCGCGGUAAUACAGAGGGUGCGAGCGUUAAUCGGAUUUACUGGGCGGAAAGCGUGCGUAGGCGGCUUUUUAAGUCGGAUGUGAAAUCCCUGAGCUAAACUUAGGAAUUGCAUUCGAUACUGGGAAGCUAGAGUAUGGGAGAGGAUGGUAGAAUUCCAGGUGUAGCGGUGAAAUGCGUAGAGAUCUGGAGGAAUACCGAUGGCGAAGGCAGCCAUCUGGCCUAAUACUGACGCUGAGGUACGAAAGCAUGGGGAGCAAACAGGAUUAGAUACCCUGGUAGUCCAUGCCGUAAGCGAUGUCUACUAGCCGUUGGGGCCUUUGAGGCUUUAGUGGCGCAGCUAACGCGAUAAGUAGACCGCCUGGGGAGUACGGUCACAAGACUAAAACUCAAAUGAAUUGACGGA